UGUGACCUCAAAUCAGGUAGGACUACCCGCUGAACUUAAGCAUAUCAAUAAGCGGAGGAAAAGAAACUAACAAGGAUUCCCCUAGUAACUGCGAGUGAAGCGGGAAAAGCUCAAAUUUAAAAUCUGUCAGUCUUUGGCUGUCCGAGUUGUAAUCUAGAGAAGUGUUAUCUGCGCUGGACCGUGUACAAGUCUCCUGGAAUGGAGCGUCAUAGAGGGUGAGAAUCCCGUCUCUGACACGGACUGCCAGGGCUUUGUGAUGCGCUCUCAAAGAGUCGAGUUGUUUGGGAAUGCAGCUCAAAAUGGGUGGUAAAUUCCAUCUAAAGCUAAAUAUUGGCGAGAGACCGAUAGCGAACAAGUACCGUGAGGGAAAGAUGAAAAGAACUUUGGAAAGAGAGUUAAACAGUACGUGAAAUUGCUGAAAGGGAAACGCUUGAAGUCAGUCGCGUUGUCCAGGGAUCAACCUUGCUUUUGCUUGGUGUACUUUCUGGUUAACGGGUCAGCAUCAAUUUUGAUUAUUGGAAAAAGGUUAGGGGAAUGUGGCAUCCUCGGAUGUGUUAUAGCCCUUGAUUGUAUACAAUGGUUGGGAUUGAGGAACUCAGCACGCCGCAAGGCCGGG
rnacentral:rRNA from 2 species